CGCACGGGUGAGUAACGCGUAUGCAACUUACCUAUCAGAGGGGGAUAACCCGGCGAAAGUCGGACUAAUACCGCAUGAAGCAGGGAUCCCGCAUGGGAAUAUUUGCUAAAGAUUCAUCGCUGAUAGAUAGGCAUGCGUUCCAUUAGGCAGUUGGCGGGGUAACGGCCCACCAAACCGACGAUGGAUAGGGGUUCUGAGAGGAAGGUCCCCCACAUUGGUACUGAGACACGGACCAA
rnacentral:rRNA from 1 species